AGCGUAGACGGUGUGGCAAGUCUGAUGUGAAAGGCAUGGGCUCAACCUGUGGACUGCAUUGGAAACUGUCAUACUUGAGUGCCGGAGGGGUAAGCGGAAUUCCUAGUGUAGCGGUGAAAUGCGUAGAUAUUAGGAAGAACACCAGUGGCGAAGGCGGCUUACUGGACGGUAACUGACGUUGAGGCUCGAAAGCGUGGGAGCAAACA
rnacentral:rRNA from 1 species